GUGUGCCACAUUGCCGUUAAAAGUUUUGGGUCAAAAACAACGUGGCAUUUAAUCAAAUGUAAGUAGUUGGAUGAUGGAUCUUGAUUUUUUUACUUGUUUUUUUUUUUUUUUUUUUACUAUGUAACAUGUUUUGUUCUUAUCUUAAGGUGACUGGAUUUUUUGGUGGCAAUCGAUUCAAUACCAUUGAACUCAAUCAUCAAUUUCUGCAACUGAUUCAUGUCUCCUUCAAUGGGUCAAUGUUCGUAUUCUCUAACUUCAUUUUGUUUCUUUCAACAGGUAUAGAAAACCACAGCUGAGCCUUAUUUAAAUCAAGGCAUUUUUUUAGGGUGUAGUGAUGGUGCCAAAUAUAUUUCACAUAUAAAGGUUACCAAGGGGCAGCACGAACGAGUUAAAAGCAGUAUGAAACAGUCUAACACCAGCAUCCAACCACGGUCUCUUAAUCUUGUUUUAGGAAAUCUUGACGGUUUCUGUGUUCAACCAUAUGAACUGUUUGAGGAAGAAGAGAGACAGAAGUUGCAUGAUCAUUGGUUUGUUAUUGUGUUCUGCCUUACAGACUACAUGCAUCAUAUUUAAUCUUGUUUGAUAUAUCGACUAAAUAAAAAAAUUGGGAUGAAUUUUACAUCCUAAAG